CCUACUCUCUGCUCUCUCGCGGACAAGCGACGCCGAAGGGAAUGAAGCUUUGAUCUCCGGCGAUCUUCCUCUGCCGGCGUCAACACCCUAAGCUCAGAUCUGGCCGGUGUUUCUCCUCUCCGGGUCUUCUUCGGCUGAGGAGUUGCUAUUCGGUGGAUUUUGCACCGAUUGUUGACGAUCGGUGGCUAGGGCUUGGUGAGGAGCCGGAUCUCGUAUCGUCUCCGACUGGUAGGCUUACCCUCUCCUCCCCUCGUGUUGCUCACAGAGCAGUCCACACCUCCUUUCUUGCUGGAAUUGGGCAACGACGCCAUUGGGAGGUGAUCCAGAGAUUUAGGGCUUCGUCGGAUCUGUCCAGUGACGGCGGUGUGGUGAGGUCACGAGAUUGAAGGGAUUAAGAUUGAUUUCUUCUUGAUCCGGAAUGUAGAGUGGAAUUCAACACAUUGCUAUUCUGUGGAUUUUUUUUUGGUGCGGC